rnacentral:rRNA from 1 species
GAUGAACGCUGGCGGCGUGCCUAAUACAUGCAAGUCGAGCGAAUGGAUUAAGAGCUUGCUCUUAUGAAGUUAGCGGCGGACGGGUGAGUAACACGUGGGUAACCUGCCCAUAAGACUGGGAUAACUCCGGGAAACCGGGGCUAAUACCGGAUAACAUUUUGAACCGCAUGGUUCGAAAUUGAAAGGCGGCUCCGGCUGUCUCUUAUGGAUGGACCCGCGUCGCAUUAGCUAGUUGGUGAGGUAACGGCUCACCAAGGCAACGAUGCGUAGCCGACCUGGGAGGGUGAUCGGCCACCCUGGGACUGAGACACGGCCCAGACUCCUACGGGAGGCAGCAGUAGGGAAUCUUCCGCAAUGGACGAAAGUCUGACGGAGCAACGCCGCGUGAGUGAUGAAGGCUUUCGGGUCGUAAAACUCUGUUGUUAGGGAAGAACAAGUGCUAGUUGAAUAAGCUGGCACCUUGACGGUACCUAACCAGAAAGCCACGGCUAACUACGUGCCAGCCGCCGCAGUAA